rnacentral:lncRNA from 1 species
CUUCGCUCUCUGCCCGCACUCCCUCUCUGGGCUUGAACCGCCAUCCCUGCAAGAAGAGGUGGAGCCAUGGAGGUCUUCAUCCAUAAUCCCAAUUGAGCUGCAUGUCAAGUUCUGUAUCGAGACCGAUCAACUCGUGACGAAGCUCUUGAGUGUGAUUGCAGACGUGGCCAUCGGCGAGGUGGUGUUUGAUUUAUUGACAAAGAUAUAUGAAUGGC